rnacentral:rRNA from 1 species
GACAGAGGUGCCGAGCGUUAGGCGGAAUCACUGGGCUUAAAGCGUGUGUAGGCGGGUCCGUAAGUACCUUGUGAAAUCCCACGGCUCAACCGUGGAACUGCUCGGUAUACUGCGGGUCUGAGCUGUCUAGGGGCGACCGGAACAAACGGUGGAGCGGUGAAAUGCGUAGAUAUCGCUUGGAACGCCAAAGGCGAAAGCAGACGACUGGGGCUGAGCGACGC